UGUUUACAUUAUUGCUACCUCUUUUAGGAAUAACAAGAAAUGAGACAUACAAUGCAUUAGCAUAUGCUAUGGGGCAUUUUGGAGAUGCUGUACAGGAAUACCUACUGAAUGGGGAUAAAGUGCCUGAUCCUACUAUAAGUAAGGAAUGCUUUCAAAUGGAAAUUAAUGUUAUAGUUGACAGUUUGAUAGCUCAUUUACCAAAUGUAAGGGACCCAAAGGAACAUUUACUAGCUUUAGCAUCUAUUUUGCCUAUUGCAAGUGGAGGAAAUGCUUACCAAUACAUGCAGAAAUUAUUACCUUUGGUCUUAAUUGAAACAAAAAGAAUUGUUUGCAGCUGUGCAGUGUUUGAGCUCCAUCAUUGAAAUAUUAUUACCAACUAAUGGGUUUAUUUUAGAACCACAUUUGAAUUCUUUAAUUGGGGUGUUGGUUGAUUUAGUGCAACCUGAACAGGAUUAUGCUCAACCUCAAUUAGUUCGUGCACACAAUGAAGCUUUAAGAUGUUAUGAAAAUCUGAGCAAACAUUUUACUGAUUGUUGUGUAGAUCAUUUGUUUAAGUUGUUGAAAUACCCAACUAAUGAUAAAAAUAGAUUGAAGUCAUUAAUAAUAUUCAACCAUAUUAUUAAUUCAGUUGACACUGUGAAGAAUAAAAUAGGUAACUUACUACAGAUUUUAAACGAUUUCCUGGAUAAUUCCAGCAUAGCAGUGAAAAAAAUGCUCCUUCGUACCAUAGUUACUUUAUCCUGCAAGAAUUUAUUACCAAAGGAUGCUCAGUUGCAUUAUUGUAACUUCAUGUUGCGCAUGUGUGAUUGUUUCACACAUGAAAAGUUGACAGCCAGUCAAGAAAUAAACUCUUUGAAAGAAACUGCACAGAACACA